CGCCAAGCCCCUAUACCCUUAUACAAUAAUUACCACUCAAUCCUAAAACAGAAACCAACAGAUGUCCAAGCAAGUAUUAAAUCUAUUUUUCCACUUUUGUUUUUACAUUUUGUGUAGCUAAUACCAUUUGUUAGCAGGAUCAGGAGAGGAAGAUCAUUAAAUUUGGGGUUUGGGAUAGGAUUGAGGGGGUCAAAUCCCUAGGUGACCCAAGCCCCAGGUGCUU